CCACAGAGGUGGAGUCUAUAGAGGUGUUAGGCCUUGCUGAGAUGCGGUGGGCUCCACCCAGUUUGAGCUUCCUGGCUGCUUUGUUUACCUACUCAAGCCUCAGCAAUCGCAGACGUCCCUUCCCCAGCCAGGCUGCCACCUCGCAGUUCAAUCUCAGACUGCUGUGCUAGCAGUGGGGAAGGCUCCGUGGGCAUGGAAACUGCCGAGCCAGGCACAGUAGAGAAUCACCUUGUCUGCCGGUUGCUAAGACCUUUGGAAAAGUGCAGUAUUUGGGUGAGAGUGUCCUAUUUUUCCAGGUACAGUCUGUCACGUCUUCCCUUGGCUAGGAAAGGGAAAUCCCCCGACCCCUUACACUUUCCGGGUGAGGCAACGCCCCACUCUGCUUCAGCUCACCCUCCAUGGGCUGCACUCACCUUCCAACCAGUCUCAAUGAGAUGAACCAGGUACCUCAGUUGGAAAUGCAGAAAUCACCCGUCUUCUGCGUCAAUCACGCUGAGAACUGCAGACCAGAGCUGUUCCUAUUUGGCCAUCUUGGAACCGGUCUGAGUCUGUUUUAGCCAGAUCAAGUACUUGGUGAGAGAACCUUUGUGGGAGCGCAGAAGUCCAGCAGAGAGACCCUAGCACUUUAUUUGGACCAAAAAAUAAAUAAUAAAUAAAUAAAUAAAUAAAUCCAAAACUAGAUGCAUUAAAGAAGGGGAAAAUGAGAACAGUGAGUGCCUAAUUUCCUCAGCUGUAGGAUGCUGUAGAAGAGACCCACUUCUGCCUCACCCAUUUGAGAACCCUGAGGGAAUCAGUAUGGCUGAAUAAUCUGGGGGUAGCUAGGAGCAGGGAAAAGGGGCAGCACUCACAGCAACCUGAGUAUGGAAUUCAGCAAAGAGCCACAGUUUCUAUUAACUACCUCCCAAAUUCCAUCAAGAGGGCCAGCCACAAACUACAUAGGAUGCAUAAUCUGCAGAUCCCCUGACUAGCCCAUGUGUGCUUCCAACCUUCUGCAUGCCCUUCCCCCAUGUAGCUGGCACCCUGAAUGCACCCCCAUGGAUAGCAUGUACAAGCUUCUGCAGAUUGUGCAUGAGAACAUGAAGAUAACUAACUUGAUUCAGGAUUGGAAGGAAGUGACUAAUCUUGAAUUUUUCAAGGCACUUCCUAGGGAAGAUAAACAGGAGGCUUACAUUGCACCUGGCCUGACUUUUGCAAGAUCAAGAGAAGGAAUAUGCUGUAAUUUGAAUGAAAAUUUAACAUUUAAAAUUUAUGUUGAAGCUGAAUACUCAAUGCAAUAGUACUAAGAAGUCUAACCUUUGGGAGGUGAUUAAGUCAUGAUGACUCUUCUCACUUGAAUGGGAUGAGCACUCAUAAAAGAUGUCAAGGUUUAUGGGAGUUCUCUUUUGCCCUUCCAUCCCUUCUGCCAGGUUAGACUUCUCCUAUGGAGAAUGCAGCAAGAAAAUACCAUCUUGAAGCAGAGAGCAGCGCUCAUCAGGCAUCAGUCCUUCUGGAGCCUUGAUCUUGGACCUCCCAGCUCCAAAAUAAUAAGUAAUAAAUUGUUAUUGCUUAUAAAUU
rnacentral:lncRNA from 10 species